GACGAACCGUGCGAACGUUGUUCGGAAUCACUGGGCUUAAAGGGCGCGUAGGCGGUUUGCCAAGUCAGGGGUGAAAUCCUGCAGCUCAACUGUAGAAGUGCCUUUGAUACUGGCAAUCUCGAGUCCGGAAGAGGUUGGUGGAACAGCUAGUGUAGAGGUGAAAUUCGUAGAUAUUAGCUAGAACACCAGUGGCGAAGGCGGCCAACUGGUCCGGUACUGACGCUGAGGUGCGAAAGCGUGGGGAGCAAACAGG
rnacentral:rRNA from 1 species